GAUCAUGCACGGAAGGAAACAGGAAGUGAUGAGGCAAUGGACUACACUGAGGGCCCUGUGGUGACAAGUGUGAAGACGUAUCAGCAGUCAGACCUCCAGCAGAGAAGCCUAUGGGGCUCCACAGGAAACACACUCAGACUGUCCUUCAUCAUAUUCAUACCUGCACUACUGCUUACUGUUGGCUACAGAUUGAUGAGGUCACAGCAGAGAGCGUGGAAUGGACGACGGAUUAAAUCUGACCAAGAAGACAACUCAUUGUAGUGUCUGUCUGUCUGUCUGUCUGUCUGUCUGUCUGUCUGUCUGUCUGUCUGUCUGUCUGUCUGUCUGUCUGUCUGUCUGUCUGUCUGUCUGUCUGUCUGUGUGUGUCUGUGUGUGUGUGUGUGUGUGUGUGUGUGUGUGUGUGUGUGUGUGUGUGUGUGUGUGUGUGUGUGUGUGUGUGUGUGUGUGUGUGUGUGUGUGUGUGUGUGUGUGCAUGUGCUGUUACUAAGGGUGUUUAAAAGUAAGUGCGUUUUUCUACACGUAUUUAAAAUUUUAAUUCAAGCUAAUUGAAACACAGGAACAAACUAGACUCAUUGAAAGGACAGUUUAUAACGACAGAAAGGGAAGCGGGUAGUUUCAAUUUGGUACAAUUGUUGGGAAAACAGACACCAGUCAUUGCUUUUAACUAUCUUAAGGGCACCAGUUUGAAAAGACGAAGUGAAAAGGAUGUUUUCUGAAUUGAGAAAUGUUCAACUAAAAGUCCCUUUCCUCAAUGUCAGUUUGAUUACUUGACUGUUGUGUUGGCUUAGCAUUCUUUCAUCACAUAUGUAAUAUGUAAUUAACUGAUCUCAUCAUGGGAUAUAACAACGCAUGUCUUCAUUAGGACAGCAUCAGCUUUAUGAAGUGCAACUGGACAGUCUCUGGGUCAAUCCUCAAUGAGUCCAUCUCUGGAACUCCCCCUUGAGCAAGACACCUUCCUACUGAUGGAUGCCUUGCACGUGCAGACGGCCAUCUCUUUUUGCAUAUUAGCCAAUGGUUUCAGUAUGUUGUUUUAGACAGGACAUUCACUGGUUGCUGCUAGUGUAUGGUUACUUAUUGUGUGUUUUUGUGUACCCCCCAUAUAUGACUCAUCCUGUGACAUUGUGAGAUAUGUGAGUGCGAAUGGGAUGUUGUUUUAGCAUUAGAGCGUGACAUAAUGAUGGCCGUGCCUGGAUCAGGAUACCUGCUCAAUGCUGUGUCUGUUACCAGCUGCUGAAUGUGACCUGGUCGUGUUCAGCACUGUGGGAAAUUAUGUGACUCUGCCUUGUAAAUAUGAUCUCCCAACAAACGGUCUAAGUUCAACAUGCUGGAGACAAGCUGUUCUACCAGCCUCGAGGUGUAGCAAUAUGCUGAUCUCCAGCGACUGUGCAGUGAGAAAUAGAGAAUACAAAUAGAGAAUAAUAUAUACAAUAUCCUUUCUGAGCAAACCGGUUUCUGUUUUUUUAAUUUAAACUAAUAAUCCCCACAGCCUGUAAGACGUUUAUAAUUAAUAUAAACUAUAAAAAAAAUGAGUUAUUCCCAUUCUUCAAACUCAAUCCCAGGGCUUUGCUCUUGCAUGUAUAGUUAUCCCAGACCCUUUGGAAUUAUCCCUGCUAUAUUUUACAGAUUUGUAUCCAAUACCUGUUUACACAUCCAUUCAAUAUUCUGCACAUUUUGGAAUCUUGCUUAAGAUUAUUUGGAUUUGAAUAAAAAAUUUAGUGGUCUGAACUGCAGUUCCAAACCCUGAUCCAAGAUGUCGCCAUUUCUCGAUA